UUACUCUUAGCUCUAUGCAGCCCAUAAAAAAAAAAAAAAGGGACACCUUCUUGAGUUAUUAAAGUCAAUACUGCUAACAGAAGAGAUAGGGAUCUGAACUUUACAGAAAUUCUGAGUGAUGUCUUGAAUGUCCUUUGAUUCUAAUCGUAUUUUGGGGGGUAAGAUGCUCGAAGUGCCAACUCGUCAUUUUCAGAAUUAACUCACUGAAGUUGUAGGUGUCUAGCUGCAUCCCUGAGGUCCUUGCUGGCCAAGGAGUCAGCUAUGAAGUCUGGCUGAGCCUUCAGGCCGGUGUCUGUCAUCACACAGACUUUGCUGGUGGCUUGAAUUGCUCAGAGGUUGCCACAGAGAGUGGGCAGCCUCCACGCUGUAGUGGCAGGAUGUGCUCCCAGGAUGAAUGACUGCCUGACAAGUGUCCACUUCCAGUUCCAAAGCAAACAGCUGGCAGUACCCUUCCUUUAUGCUAAGCACAGAUGAAAUUGGCCCUUCCUUCUCCUCCCCCCACCCCCCCAAGGAAAUAACAUAGUGUUUCCCAUAGCCCACAGCCAGCCUCUCACUCUUCUCUGAACCUUUUAGAUGCAAAUCACCGGGAGGAUGCUAGGGCCCUGGGGACAGAGCUCAUUGUCUGUUGUGUUGUCACCUUCUGUUAUCCAGGUGCACGGCUUGGAUUUCAUUCAACGCCCUAUGUUCCUGGCACAUGAAUAAACUUAGUGUGGUCUGGUGGGCCGAACUGGCUUCCUGCUUCUGUCAGUGCUGUGUUGGCCAGUUAUUUCCACUGUGCAGGAGGCAGCCAGUGCUCCCACACCACGCCCCAUCCCCCACCCCCCCAGGCUGAGGCUGGAGAUGCCCUUUUGUUUCUUACCACUUGGCCCUGGAAACAAUUGUCUUCUGACAGGCUUAUCAUGCACAGGGUGUUCUCCUCACUCUGUAGCUCUUGCCAGAGAAAUAAUAGUGACCUGAUCUUUCCUGAAGUCUCUCUCCUUCUACAAGCACCCUGUGUGAAGCCUGUGGGGAGCCCUCAAUAAAUAUUUGUUGAGUGGAUUGGAUAAAUGGAAUCGCUUCUGGAUCACUUGCCCACUUUAAAGAAUUCCCAAUGUGGUGAGUGGUUUGACAUUUGUGCAUAAUAUGGAGAAAGAGCAAGACUGAAAUGUGGCUGUUAAGAGUCUUGGGCUCAUGUUUGCUAAUCUCCUGUAUGGUGAAACACUGGCACCCAGACAAACUCUCAUUCACAUUGGAACAAAGCACUAGUUAUGUGUGUUGAAAUUCCUUAGAGAAAAUGUCUUGCAGCCUGUUGGGGAGUACAUGAAUGCUGGAAAUACUUCACCCAAUGUUGCUCAACGUCCUGGGAAGACAGUGUGCUGGCAUCUGGACACCCACUCUGGAGAAGGAUUGCAGUGCUCUAGGGCACGUGGGUCUGGUGAGGACAGAAGGAGCAUGGGUGGAAGGGUGGGUGGAGAUGGGGUUGGAUGUUUUCUCUGUAAUCAUCCCAGACCGAGCUGGAGCCAGCUCCAGACUGCCCACUUUCUUAGUCCAUUGAAAGUAUCUAAAGUCAGCUUGUUGCCAAGGCUGUUGCUUCCCCUGCUUGGGGCCAGAUUUUCCUGUUUUUUGAUUAUAAAUCUUAGUUACUUGAGUUUCCUCAACUUUGACCUGGAGAAGUAAGAGGGUAGAGGAAUGAAGGAAAGGUUUUCGAUCAGUGUCAAAGGUAUGAAAUGGUUAGGUGGCGGUCUGUGCAUGUAGGAUGGAAACUAAGUCAACUGUGGCUCCAGCUGUUUGGAGAUAACUCCAAUAGAUGGGACUAAGUGACCAGAGAGCGCAAAGGAAGGUGGAUGUGGUAAUGGGGUAACAGUAAGAAGUGAAUGCCACUAGAAGAGCAAGGAGAAGGUGCUGAGCUAGAGCAACGGUUCUCAUUGUGGCCCCUGGACCAGCAGCAUCAGCAGCACCUGGGAUAAAAAUGCAGAUUGUCAGGUCCAACUCAGACCUACUGAAUCAUAAGCUCAAGGGGUGGAGCCCAGCCAUCUGUGUUUGAACGAGUCCUCCUGGUGAUUCUGAUGCACACUAAAAUUUGUUAGCAGCACUUCUGGAAUGAGGAAGAGACAUCUUGGUAACACUGGGUUUGAGAGGAGGGAGGAAGAGGAAGGGGAGGAGAAUGGACUAAACAGUAGAAAGAAGUUAUACUCCAAGAAAAGGAAAAGUGACGAGGGCUGCCAGAAUGGAAGAAGAAUGUGAGUCAAGAUUGUAAUAGUUCAUGGUAGCCUGGAUUUUUAGUUAGCACAUGCCUGCCACUGACAUCAUGCAGAAGUUUUAAGGAGAAGCAAUGGUAAAAGAACAAAUGUGGAUGCAAAUUCCUCUCAGAAAUUACAAAAGAGAAUUACAUUGCUGGGAUUCACUUGCAGAUCCUGGAAGGGCUCAUUUAUGUGUUUUUCACUCCAGUCUGGUGUGAGUUGAAGGGUGGCCCCCAAAAGAUAUGUCCUCGUCCCAACCCCCAGAACCUGUGAAUGUGACCUUAUUUGGAUAGAGUCUUUGCAGAUGUAAUCAAGUUAAGGAUCUCAAGAUAAGAUCAUCCUGGAUUAUUUAGGUGAGCCCCAAAUCCAAUGAAACUGUCUUUAUGAGACAAGAAGAGGAGACAGACACACAGAGAAGGCAAUGAGAAGACAGAGGCAGAGUUGGGAGUUACGCAGCCGUAGACCACAGAACGCCCGGAGCCACCGGAAGCUGGAGGAAGCAAGGAAGCCUUCUCCCUCAGAGCCUUCGGAGGGGGCGUGGUCCUGCUGACACCUUGAUUUUGGACAUGUGGCUUCCAGAACUGAGGUCACUUUCCUCUUUCUGCCUGGAAUGCAGACAUAAGGCUGAAGAUGGAGCAACGACCUUUGCAGCCAUGGGGAUAAAUCCAUUUCAGAAAGACAUACUUCCUGAUAACAAAUUGAUAACACCAUAGAAUAAGGUCUAUACAUCCCAGAACUACCUAGUUCCAGAUUUUAUGUUUUGUGAGAUAAACUCAACCGUAUGUUGUUAAGCCACUUAUAUCAUCCAGUUUUAGUUGCAGACAUUAGAAUGCACUUCACAUAAUUUAGGUAGAAAGUAGUUUGUUAAAAUAUAGUAGUUAGCUUAUGGAGUUCUAGAAAUCCAGAGAACCAGUUUAGGAUUAUACUGAGGCAGGAAAAGGGCAGCCAGAUCCAACAGAGCCAGGAGAAAAGCCAAUCCGCAAUGCAAGACCGUUCUAGUGGCAAAGCAAGUAUCGCUGCCUCCUGCUGCCCUGUGUUAGGGAAUGGACACCAAACCUUCCUCCAUGGCCAUCCUGGAAGAACAGGUGCCUCUGUCUGUACUCUCCACAUGUAGCUACUCCCAAGCUGCUCACUUUUGCCUAAAAACCUCAUGCAAGAGAACCUACUUGGCAGAACCGUGUGUUUUACUCACCCCCUCUCGACCUGGUUGGUGAAGGAGGGGUUCCUGCUCUAGGGUUAUGAGGAUGGCUCAACACAUGACACUGACACUGGAUGGAUGAUUUUGAUAGCAGUUUCUUGGUCACGUGUACUCACCAUCCAGAGUAGGAGGACACAGCACACCACACAGGGCCACACCGGGUUGUACUCCGGAACAGAGUGAACAAGCAGGGACUGUAGGAGGCAGGCUUUGUAGUAACAAGAGGGUGAGGUGACUCAUGGUUCCCAUGGGAGGAUGUGAUUGGCUUGUUUGAAUAAUUCCACAGGCUGACAGGAAACUGAAACCUGACGCUCAGGGAUAAGCAGGCACUGGGCCUGGUCCCCAUCAUAAGGAGGGCUGUUUGGCUAAGGGACCUUAUCCACUGAGGUAGAAGGGGUGGAGGACUUGAGAUUAGGCCAUAUGAGGCCCUCUCAACUUUACCAGAUGUCAAGUGAAUCUUAAUUUCAGUCUUAUGCCAUAUCGUGUCUCAAGCAAGCGCCCUAGCUGGAAGGGGAUUUGGGAAAUCUAAUUCUAGCUUCCUAUUCUCAGGAAGGCAAGCUAAAGGGAUUGAAAUAGGUGUUGAGUGAGCAAGGUUCCACCUCUUUUAUUAUUCAAGAUCCAUAUACACCCUUCUCUUCAUAAUUAAACUUUUAGAUAAGAGCAGCAGCGACAACAUGGGCCAACCUAACGUCAUCUAACUCAUCUUUAUACAAAUGAAAAUGCACUUAGCAAGGAAAGAUUCCCAGUCUCAUUGGUCAGUGCCUCCACCUCUACAUGAUGUUUAUUCCUUCUCUAAUGCAGUCACAAUCCUGACUAGAUAUCCAGUAGCCCGGGGACUGAAUAAAUAGUAGGGAGAAGGAAAGGGAGAGAUUGUAAAUGCCCACUCAUACACACUCACAUACAUACACAUCAAAGAAAGGAAGAAAAUAUCCACAGCUACCAUAGUCAUUUUCUUCACCUAGCAAGGAGCAGCAACAAGAGGGCAUAGCAGUGCCCAGUAGAAGCCCAGUGAUGCGAGGCAGAUGCAAUGGUGCCAAAUGGGCAUGGUACUAUCUAGGGAGGCCUGGAGUAGAGAAAGGGGGAAAGGAGAGAGGGACAGAUUGUAUGGAAGUACAUAUGAGAUUCCCCCAGUGCUUCUGGAAAUACCAGAGGGGGAGUCUUUGCAGGUGUCUGUGUUUGUGCAUUAUAAGUAAGACAACACUUAUAGAGGAGGACAAAGAGAACACAUGUUAAAGAAGUAAAAAGACACGGUCAGGCAAAAACAAUUACUGUCCAGUCGGGAAGACAAUUAUUAAAUGCACAAAAUAUCUACAGGAAAAAAAAUAGUAUGAGAUUAAGAAUGUUCUGGCUCUAUGAGAAGUACUGAGACGUGGAAGGAAGGGGCCAAUCUGGGAAAGACAACAGAUCACCAUGGUGUCCAAAGGCCAAUGGCCAAUGCACAGUGUUCUCAGAGGGGACAAGAGCCCCCGAGGCCCAGAGAAGUGAAGUGACUUGCUCUAGGUCACACAGGCAGUGAGUAGCAGGGCAAGUAUCCUUCAGUACAGCGCACAUGGCAAACUAUAAUGGAGUAACUUGUAGGAAAUAGUCUUAUGCUGGUUUCCCUUUGCGCUUUUCACUCUCCUUUCAGUCAAAGAAAAGAGCUACUGUGUAUUUUUUGAUUAGGUCAUUUGAUCUCCUCGUGCCUCCAGUAGGCAAACUUCCCCAACCAGUCAUCUGUUUCUCAGCUGAACUUUUUUGGCUAAUAAUAAGAAAAAAAGUAGUUUCUGUUAUGAUAGUAUCUUAUGUGCUGUGCAAUGGAAAGGACGUGAACUGCAAGUCAAGAAACCUGAAUUCUUCUCUUGGCUUGUCGGCUACUACUGGGGGACUUCAAGCAAGUCACUUCAUCCUUUUUGGGCCUCUGUUGCUUCCUGAAAAAUGAAUCCUAGAGCAGUGGUUUUCUAGUUGUUUCUUGGAACCCUAAGAUCACAUGGUAGUACCCAAGAAGAAGAUAAGCAGGGAGACCAACGGAGCAACACUUCUGGUCCCCCACUCCACCUCAGUUUUACAUAGUGGAGUUCCUAAGCUGAAAAAAAAAACCAUCUAGAGAAUUGCCCAGGCACUAAUAAUCUAUGAUUCCAAGGCGUUUGGUUGCUGGUUCUAAAGAUAGCCUCAUGCCCACAUGCUUCAAGUGAGUAAAAUUUUGGAUGGACUAAAAAUAAAGAAUGCUAGUUUGAUUUCCGGAUUUUUUCAGAAUGGUGCAGAGAGAAUGGACUGAGAAAAAUGUUUUGUGAGUAGGGAAUUAUUUUGCUUUCCUGCCAAGAUUUAUUACAUAAGCACGUUUUCUCCCUAGCAACACCAGCCCCAGCGUGAACACUAUUUCACUGUACGUACAUCUGCCUUAAGGACAUAAACCGGAAGAUUCUUAUAGGCUGGGGCCACAUGGAAAUUGAUUGUCAGAACCUUCUAAAAAAAUCAGUGGGAAAGAUGAGAGUUCAGCGUCCCUUGUUUCUUCCUCUAGAAUCUUAGCCAUAUUAGGAAUUUAUUUAAUCAUUUUAUAAAUACCCUAUUACUAUGACGACGAAGACAAUUACACUACAAAUAACAUGGAAAGAGGAUUUCUAGGCAAGUGAAUGUACUCACCUUUAGUCCAGAACAGCUGUUAAAUGGUCUGUUAAUAAACAAGCUGUAAGAAAACAGAGAUUCUCAAGUUAUGUUGCUUGAUGCUAAAGAAAAACUGUUACAGAUGCUCAGACUUUUAGCUAAUGAAAUAAAAACAAUGAUCUACAUGAGACACAAAGUAAAAUUUAGGGAAUGAGAUAUGGGAAUCAAGAUAAUUAGAAUUUUUGUUUGUUUGUUUAAAGGUGAGCAAAUUGGAAGAUUCCAUUAGGACAAUCUUCAAGUGAAUGAAGGUGUUUUGUGAAUUAAAUCUUUCCUGAUCAUUUCUUAUAUUCCUGAAAGAACAAGGAGGAAAUGGACUUAUAUUUAGAAGAAAAGAUCUUGAUUUGUUAACAGAAGUGAGUUGAGAUUUUUUGGUUCUAAAACACUGGGGUGACCAAAAGAAGGUCACCCUCAGAUCACUUGCCAUCAGACCAUCUGUCCUGGGCAUUUGUCCAUUUAAAGGCGAGUGGUUGGAGAAAAGGAUCUUUAUGAUCUUCAUAACUGUAUAUGGAGCAUGUAUAGAAAUGUGAACUGGUAGAAUUAGUAUUAGUAUAUUGCAUCUGUAAAACUUUUGAUGCUUUACAAAAUCCCUUCCCUCUAUGUGAUUUCACUUGGCCUGUGGGAAAGGUUCAGAGGCAGCAUGCCCAUUGUGCCAGUGAAAGACCCGAGACACAGGGCCAUAGGGAGGUGAAAAGCCUUAACCACAGCCACAUGGAACCAACAAAGUCAGGAGCAGCCCCUUCUCCCGCCAUGUAGCCCCAGGCAUCGUAAUAUGAGAGCAACCAGCCGGCAGAGGUAGCCUUGGGGGGAGGAUUGGAAGUGAAAAAGGCCCUGGGAGAGAUGGAGGAAGGGCAUCAUCUGCUGAAGAGUGGCUGCCUGUCGAGACGUCUCUAAGAGGGGGAUUGUGACCUCAGAUACUUAACAGGCUUUAGGACCCAGCCCUCACCUAUCAGGUCCACAGACUCACAAAGGCUCCCUCUCAAUACCUCACAACACGGGAGUGGACAAAAAGCCACACCACCAAUUUAUUUAUUUCUAACAAGCAUGAUCCCUCUCCCCAGUUAUUGGAAUGCUCAUGUCCAUAAGGGCUGAUGAUUCCACGUGAGAAGGUAGAAGCUGGGGACAAAUUACUGGGGCCACCAGGCUGGGAAGGGGACCUUGGCCUGACCAUGUUGCAAAUCAGUUUAAAACCCCUGUGAAGGUUUUUAGCUGUCUGCCUUUGCUGGAGCCCUCAAAUCUUUUUUUUUCACUGGGGCUCGAACUCGUUCUCAGCAGUCCUGUGCUCAUGCUUAUAUUUUAUUCCUAGAAUCAAGGUGUCUGGUUAUUAAAGUAUUUAUAAGAAGGUUAUUUGUUGACCAUAGAAUCAGAUUGAGCUGGAAGAAAUAUUUCAUGGAAAUUUUCCUAGAAAAUUAAACAUAUCAACAUCCCAGCCCUGUAUCUCUGGUGAUUAGAUCUACUAGCAUCCCUCAGAUACCAUAUCCCUCCCCUCUGAAUGGGUGGAAUGUACCAGACAAUUCUGCCCUUUGAAUUAUAUAUUUUAAUGCUGACCAUACUAACCUCCCCCAGCCCCCUGCCCCAUUCAAUGGCCCUUUCUUUCUCUAAGCACAUUAACAUUAUUCUGAUUCCUGUUCAGUCCACGAUAUUUGGCCAUCUUAUUGGUACCACUCUCAGUUUUAAGGGACCCAUAAGUGACAGCAAUGUGUCUGAGGGCUGGGGGACCCAAGCAUGAGAGAAGAGGCCCCAAUUGACCGGAUGAAGUCUUGGAGACAAACAACAGUAAUAAAUGACUCUAUAUUCCUCAGCAUCUGAUCUUCUUAGUAUUUUAAUCUUCCUUUGAGCAAAGCAAGAGCCAUGUCACCAGACAGCUGCCCCCCCACCACCUCCCAUCUUCCUCAUCAUCAGUAAAUUUCUAGCAGUGGCAUAAGGGCCCAGGAGGGUGGCUGCUGUAGGAUUCAGUGACACUUCUUCUUCUUUCUUUCCCACUCCUGGCUUGCUUGGUUUGACCUUGCUUUGACCUUGACACGACUUCUUUAGGCCUCAUCAUCCCAUUUGCAGAAGGGGGGUGUCUUAGACAUGACUGUCUCCAAAAUCUCUGCCAACUCUAGAUUCUCAGAAGGAUUCCCUCCGGAAAAAGAAUCCUAAAUUAAGUAAAUUGGCAUCAGCUUUUGUUUCUGUUCUUUCUUUUCAUUCUGUAGCUGCCAAGUCAUUUUCUAGGUAUUUGAAACUGAGUGAAAAGGUUUCCCGGGGGUUUCAUUUCGGUCGCUCUCUGUGUAUUUUUAUUAUGCACUUACCCAGGGAUCAGCCUCUGUAACUGUCCCCCAGGCACAAGUGUCCUUUUAAUUCCCAGAAGCUUGGCAACCCACGUAAAGUACUCUAAUUAAAAAUGUGCAUUUUGAGAAAAAUUUGAAGUCACACCCUCAUACAGUGGAAGAAAGGAUCUCUGUUAAACUCUCCACAGAAUGAGAAUGACUUUUACUGUUAGAAAGAAAUUUUCUACUCUACCAAUCCUGGCUCCGGCCUUCAGAGUCCACCCGGGCAUUGGAGCUUCAGAGGACUUGCUCCAUGGGUCAGAAGGACUAACCUCCAGCUACCAUCUGUUAAAUCCUUCACUCAGGGACUCGAGCCACUAAACACCUCCUGAGGACCUGCCAUGUGUCCGGCCCAAGCCACUGAGGAUCCAAAGGCAGCAUGUUGCAGGGGUUCAGGGCUCAGGCACUGGGUGUCAUAUGUGGUUUGGGUCCAGGUUCUAGAGUAUAUCAACUCCAUGACCUUUUUGAUCUUCAGUGUCCUUAUCUAUAAACAGAUAGCACCUGCCACAUGGGGUUGUUGUGCCAAGUCAAUGAAGAAAUACAUACAAAGUACCGGCACAAAGUCUGGCCCCUGGCACUGCGCUAAGACACUGGAUAUGCAUUGGUAAACAAGCAGGCAUCAUAUCUGUUCUCAUGGAGCUUGCAAUCUGGUGGGAGACACACUCUGUAUAAAACAAACAAGCCUAUAAAUAUACAAUGACAGAUUGUAGUCGGUGCUAUGAAGGAAAUGAACUGGUGCCUCAGCGUGCUUGGGAAGAUGAUGUGGGCAGAACCGUGUGGGCUUCAAGAGAAGAAAAGGGCUUCUUAGCACAGGAGCUACUCUUGUGGGAUGGGGAUGGUCGGGCAGUCUUCCCAGGAGAAGAAAACACACCUAUCAGAAGAAACUUGCUUUUUGUUCCAUUGACUCACAGCAUUUUAAAGUUUGAGCAUUUAUCAAAGAUCAUCCAAAACAAAUCUUUUAUUUUAUAAAUGAGUAAACCAAAACAUGGAGAAGGACGUUGCCUCCAGUCGUAUGGCUGGUUAAAUGAAUCAGCAGGCUCCAGAACUCUGGGAGUUUUUUCUAUCACUUCUUAUUUCUUCUUAAAUAUAUCAGAACAUCCAGGAUUUUUUUUUUUUUUAAAGGAAGAUUAGCCCUGAGCUAUGCAAGGGAACCAACUGGGGAGGAGGACUAUCAAGUUCCAUGAUCUGCCCAGCUCAUCACCUUCUCCCCCGACCCCAGCCCUGCCCUGGCAAGGGAGACACAAGAGUCCCAAGUCUGGAGCUCAUCUGACUUAACAGGGAUCUGCCUGGCUGCUGAUCCUUCUCUGACUGUCAUAGCUCAGUUCCUGUUGCCUGGGGUCCUACCUCAGAGAUUAGUUUUUGCUAACCCCAACUGGACCGACCUUCCCAGUACUGUUCAUCUUCCCACCCGACCUGUCCCCCUCCUCAUGUCACCACUGUUCGCUCAGAUCUCUGACUUCAGGCUUCAGCUAAAGGCACCCAUAUUCUGGCCUAAUCAUUCCUUCUGGAUCUGAUCUCCUGGUUGCAGACCAGCAGAAGUCCCUACACCCCUACAUGCCAAUUGUCAAAGGAGCAGGGUCCUGGAUGUUUGAGUGUUAGGUCUCCCAACAUGCAUCCCAUCCAUGCUUCCCUGUCUGAAAUGCCCUCUGUCAUGCCCUUCCUGACUCAUCCCAUCUCCUCCCAUCCCCAUCCAGAACCCUGGGCAGUCAAACAGUAUGAAGAGCAGGGACAGGACAGCAGUGAGGCAAGGGAGGUGCCUGGGGCAUAAAAUUUAAGGAGGCACGCAUUCUCAGUGCCAACUUUGAACUUGCAUGACCCAGAUAGGGACUUCUUCCAUAAAUUUUGCACCCUAAGCACUUCUUUUGCCACACCCUCAUCCUAAUCCUGUUGAGGUGAUCUCCUAAACCUAGAAUAGUCUUAAGGCACUCUCUAGACUAGAGUUUCUUUAAUUUCUGGAAGGGAUCACAUGAUUAUAUAUAGGGAAUUCUACUGCCAAGGUGGAAAAUUCAUGGGGAAGAGGAAAGCAGUUUCUAUCAAGUCCAGCAGGUUUCAUGGAUGGUGAUUAAUCCCUUGGUGAAAAAUGGCAAUUUUAACAUUGACAUGAGUAAUCACAUUUUUUCUUUCCAUAGUAGUUUAGCAUUUCCUGCUAUAAUAAUUCAGGCCUAAUACCUCAUUCAAGGAAUCAGAAGUGUCAGCACACUAUUAGCUUUCCCCCACUGACCCAUUUGUUUCUUCAUAAAAUCGGUCUUAGUCUGCCACCAUGCUGGCAUUCAUUACUGAUUCAUGAUGGACAUUGACAGAGAUUCAAAAAGGGCAUUGCCAAGAGGGACCUCCACACAAAGGAUGAUUCCUCAACUUGGUAGCAACUCAAUGACCCAGUAACUUGGUCAUGAGUCUCUUGACCUAUGAAGUCCCCUGCUCUUCGAUUGUCAAGGCCGUUGUCUGUGAAAAGGCAGGAAGAAAGGAGAAGCCCUUGGGCCAAUGGUCGGGUCUCUUGGCUCCUAACCCUGGCUCUGUUGUCUAACUUUGCUAAACUUUUGACUUCUCUGGGCUUUAAUCUCUUCAUCUGUACAAAGAGAAGACUGGCUGAGAGCGAGGUGAAUAAAGACAGUUUCAGCUUGAAAAUGCUAAGGUGCUACUUGGUGUGGCACUCGAAGUUUUGUUUUUCUUGAGAGUUCCUUGAAGUCUCUCCUGUCUUUGUUCUCUGAAAGACUGACAAUAGCAGUGGGAGUCUAGGGUCAUAUGCACAUUACCAUUCUGAUUUGCCAAGGUGGUUUAGGAAUGUGAAAAGAAAAGCUUUGCUGCACUUUCAUUUCUUGACCUGUACUCUACGCCUUUCCUUGCUCCCUCAGGGCAUCUUCAGGAUCUUCUUGUCAGCUUCCCUUCUGCUGAGCUGCCAACUCAUGCCUCCGUAAGUGAAGGAGGCCUCUUAACUGGCCCACUAGCAUCAUCUCCUUCCCACUAAGGUGUCUGACUCAUAGCUGCAGUGUAACGUGUGGCACCCCCAGAGGAGAAUACAUCUUGCAAAUUGCAUUUUUUGGUCUGCUGCUUUUCUUGGGAGCUGCUUUGCUGGUCUGCCCCUUCUGGAUAUGAGAACCAAGAUGAUAACCAGAAUUGAAUUCUUCACACGUUAGGGAACAUCUAAUUAUAUCUGAAGGAGCUUUUUAACUCAGACUUUUGUUUUUUUCUUUUAAUUUGUAUAUAUUUAUAUCUCAAGUAUAUUUCAUAAGAGUCAAAUAUGAGUAAUAUGUGUAGUACCGCUUAGAUUCUGAGUGUCUAAACAUCAUUAAGAUUGUGAACUCUUACUCUGAAGAAUGUAUUCAGAAUAAAUUCUGAUACUUUU